rnacentral:rRNA from 1 species
CCCUUAGAUGUCCUGGGCCGCACGCGCGCUACACUGAUGCAUUCAACGAGUUUUACCUUGGCCGAGAGGCCUGGGCAAUCUUUUAAACCUGCAUCGUGAUAGGGAUAGAUUAUUGCAAUUAUUAAUCUUGAACGAGGAAUUCCUAGUAAACGCAAAUCAUCAAUUUGCAUUGAUUACGUCCCUGCCCUUCGUACACACCGCCCGUCGCACCUACCGAUUGAAUGGUCCGGUGAAGCCUCGGGAUUGUGGCCAGUUCACUUUAUUGGGAGUUGGCUGUGAGAACUUGUCUAAACCUUAUCAUUUAGAGGAAGGUGAAGUCGUAACA